UCCCACUACUCAGCGCCAGAUUGUGGACUCUGAAGCUGGAUUACCACCCAUCAUACCACCUGUCUGAUCAGUGGUCAUAUCCUCCAUCAUCCUCCACGUCCAACCUGCUCUCUCUUGGUCAGCUGACUGAUGGUGUCCACCUCCAGUUUCCAUCAGAAGCAGCUGUCCGACGGAUCCUUCCAGUGAGCUCAUCAGAAACCUGGCUGCAGAUCUUCAGCUCGGCUUGUGAUUCAUCACUUUCCUCACCAUCAAAGUCUCCUCUAACACAUCAAACUUGCAGGGCUGAGGUGGCUCCUGCAGGACGGAGCUGAGCCGGCUGAGCAUAUGGUGGGAGGAAGCUGCCUACGGGACCCCUCUUCUUCAAACUAAAGGAGGAAGACGCCGCUAACGAUUUGCAUUUCCCCCCCGUUGCACUGAGGAGCCAAUGUAGCAUGCAGGAUAUCACUUUACAGUUUGAAAUUGCAUCAACUCAGAGCUCACUAAUCAAACAGUGACAGGAAUUGCUCUUUUGGAUCUAGGGCUGGAUUCUGCCUUUGGCUGCUUGCCUGUAAUUGCAUGGAGGUUGAGUUUUGUUUUGAUUUGGCCCAGGGAAGGACAUUAUUAGGCGUUAGAGGCACCAGGAGGACUGUCCAUGCAUUAUGAUCACAUUAAGCAAAGUUAAUUCUCAAAUAAUCUGUUAGUUUGCUUGUUUUAUUUACCACUAUUCUAAACGUUGACUUGUUUAUAUUAGAAAUAGGGCCUUCUUUAAAUGCAUUUUAUUAAAUUGUAUAUGACAACUUCUCGUUUUCUGAUCUUCUCUAGUUUAAAGGAGACCAAUUAUGCUAAUUUUCAGGUGCAUACUUGUAUUUUUAGUUUCUUUAAGAACUUGUUUACAUGCUUUUAAUGAUGAAGAAACACUUUUUAUUGUUCCUAAAAGCCAUGGCUGCUACACCUCUAUUCACCCUCUAUCUGAAAUGCUUUAUUGUUGCGCCUGUCCCUUUAAGACUGGCUGUAAUAGCAUAG